rnacentral:rRNA from 1 species
AAUUUUGUACAAUGGGGGAAACCCUGAUCCAGCCAUCCCGCGUGUAUGAUGAAGUCCUUCGGGUUGUAAAGUACUUUUGGCAGAGAAGAAAGGGUAUCUUCUAAUACGAGAUACUGCUGACGGUAUCUGCAGAAUAAGCACCGGCUACCUACUUGCAAGCAGCCGCGGUAAUACGUAGGGUGCACGCGUUAAUCGUAAUUACUGGGCGUAACGCGUGUGUAGGAUGUUCGGAAAGAAAGAUGUGAAAUCCCAGGGCUCAACCUUGGAACUGCAAUUUUAACUUCCGAGCUAGAGUAUGUCAGAGGGGGGUAGGAUUCCACGUGUAGCAGUGAAAUGCGUAGAUAUGUGGAGGAAUACCGAUGGCGAAGGCAGCCCCCUGGGAUAAUACUGACGCUCAGACACGAAAGCGUGGGGAGCAAACAGG